rnacentral:lncRNA from 1 species
UCCUCAAUCCGUAGCGAACUAUUCCACCACCACAAUUCGAGCGACUACGCCCUAUUCGACGCGAAUAGAACCCGUGUCCAAAACCAAAGACGCACACAGGUACCAAAACCCCCAUCACCACCAUUCACUAUUUGUAAAAGCAUGUAAAUCAGUUAGAUCUCGUUUUGAAUUUUUAAUGUUUUUUUAAAACUAAUAUAGGUAUGAUGAUGACGAUUGGUUAUCGACGAAUUUCCUAUUGACUUAUAACAAUCAACGAAUUAAUAACACUAGAUUAGUUCUCGAGAUAUGGAAAAAAUUUCGCCAAUAUCCAAGACAAGCAUACGGUUCAGAUUCAAAUUGCACUGUAUUCAUAAAACUUUUUUUUCACUUUUUUUUUUCCACAUAAGGGUGUCAAAUAAUAGAUGCUCUUUCGAGAUCAUUAACGAACGUUGUUCAAACCGAAGGUAUCACAGAAAAGUAGAUUCUGACGCACGAUGAUACAUUUAAUCCUCAUCACAUGAG